rnacentral:rRNA from 1 species
UACGUAGGGGGGCAAGCGUUGUCCGGAAUCAUUGGGCGUAAAGAGCGCGUAGGCGGUCCGGUAAGUCCGCUGUGAAAGUCAAGGGCUCAACCCUUGAAUGCCGGUGGAUACUGUCGGGCUAGAGUCCGGAAGAGGCGAGUGGAAUUCCUGGUGUAGCGGUGAAAUGCGCAGAUAUCAGGAGGAACACCAAUGGCGAAGGCAGCUCGCUGGGACGGUACUGACGCUGAGGCGCGAAAGCGCGGGGAGCAAACAGG